rnacentral:rRNA from 1 species
GGAAACAACCCAGACCGCCAGCUAAGGUCCCAAAGUCAUGGUUAAGUGGGAAACGAUGUGGGAAGGCCCAGACAGCCAGGAUGUUGGCUUAGAAGCAGCCAUCAUUUAAAGAAAGCGUAAUAGCUCACUGGUCGAGUCGGCCUGCGCGGAAGAUGUAACGGGGCUAAACCAUGCACCGAAGCUGCGGCAGCGACACUCAGGUGUUGUUGGGUAGGGGAGCGUUCUGUAAGYCUGCGAAGGUGGCCUGUGAGGGUUGCUGGAGGUAUCAGAAGUGCGAAUGCUGACAUAAGUAACGAUAAAGCGGGUGAAAAGCCCGCUCGCCGGAAGACCAAGGGUUCCUGUCCAACGUUAAUCGGGGCAGGGUGAGUCGACCCCUAAGGCGAGGCCGAAAGGCGUAGUCGAUGGGAAACGGGUUAAUAUUCCCGUACUUGGUGUUACUGCGAAGGGGGGACGGAGAAGGCUAUGUUGGCCGGGCGACGGUUGUCCCGGUUUAAGCGUGUAGG